GACGAACCGUGCGAACGUUAUUCGGAAUCACUGGGCUUAAAGCGCGUGUAGGCGGGCCGGCACGUCGGUCGCUGAAAUCCCCCGGCUCAACCGGGGAAGGGGCGCCGAUACGACCGGCCUGGAGGGACGUAGGGGGGGCUGGAACUUCCGGUGGAGCGGUGAAAUGCGUUGAGAUCGGAAGGAACGCCCGUGGCGAAAGCGAGCCCCUGGACGUCUACUGACGCUGACGAGCGAAAGCCAGGGGAGCCGAACGGG
rnacentral:rRNA from 1 species